rnacentral:tRNA from 1 species
CAAAUUAGAGCUUGAUAAGAGUAUUUUAUUUACAUUAAAAAGGAGAUUGUGAAAUUCAAUUUAAUUUGA